AAGUCGUAACAAGGUUUCCGUAGGUGAACCUGCGGAAGGAUCAUUAACAAAUUUUCCCUACCAACCACGUUUGUGAACUGUUAUAAAGCUCAUGGUGUGCACCGUCCUAGGGCGCAUUAGGCUUUGGCCUGUGCGUUCCUAGGCGGACCAUCAUGUUAAUUUACGUUGUCUUACACCAAAACUGAGACUUUAUUUUAAAUAAAGACAACUUUUAGCAACGGAUCUCUAGGCUCUC
rnacentral:misc_RNA from 1 species